rnacentral:miRNA from 1 species
UAGGUAGAGUGUGAGGAGGAGGUC